AUUGAACGCUGGCGGCAUGCUUUACACAUGCAAGUCGAACGGCAGCGCGGGCUUCGGCCUGGCGGCGAGUGGCGAACGGGUGAGUAAUACAUCGGAACGUGCCCAGUAGUGGGGGAUAGCUCGGCGAAAGCCGGAUUAAUACCGCAUACGACCUGAGGGUGAAAGCGGGGGAUCUUCGGACCUCGCGCUAUUGGAGCGGCCGAUGGCAGAUUAGCUAGUUGGUGGGGUAAAGGCCUACCAAGGCGACGAUCUGUAGCUGGUCUGAGAGGACGACCAGCCACACUGGGACUGAGACACGGCCCAGACUCCUACGGGAGGCAGCAGUGGGGAAUUUUGGACAAUGGGCGAAAGCCUGAUCCAGCAAUGCCGCGUGUGUGAUGAAGGCCUUCGGGUUGUAAAGCACUUUUGGCGGGAACGAAAAGGACUGUGCCAAUACCACGGUUGGAUGACGGUACCCGCAGAAUAAGCACCGGCUAACUACGUG
rnacentral:rRNA from 1 species